rnacentral:lncRNA from 1 species
GUCAGGGCACCGAAGCAGGAGGGGAGGGACUCAAGCACGGCCUGUGCUCCAGAAUCCUGCCUGCUGGAAGCCUUCCCCGCCCGAGGCUGAGCAGACUUGUCAGAGCUGCCUUGGACUUCCCUUGAGGCCCAGGUGUGCC